GUUAGAGAACGCUCUGAAAGGUUUACCCAAGGAGACGUCCGGAGGAGCCGUGACCGUCACCCACAAACAGCUGACCGACUUCCACAAACAGGUCACCAGUGCUGAGGAGUGUAAACAGGUGUGCUGGGCCAUCAGAGAGUUCACCCGACUGUUCCGAUAGCUGCAACCUUCACACGACACCAGGUUAAAUCUUUUGUUGACCAACAUUCAGAGGUGACGGCAAAAAGCUGCGAUGCAGACAAGGAUCCACAGAGACGACGAAUACGAGGAGGGACGGAGCUCUGAGGGACUGAGUGAGGACUGAUUGGACAGACUGAGUCCUCCAGCCCGACCCCCGACCUCACCUGACCUCACCUGCAGCAGGUGUCAGGUGGGCGGGUCGGGUCCAGCCGAUGGGCGGGGUCAGGGCGUCUGGCCAACAGUUUUUAAGAGAAGAUUUAUUUUUGGGACUUUGGUCGUGAUGUUUUUGUGUCCGUGCCAUAAAGGAGCCAGAAGAUUUCCCAUGAUGCUCUGGGCAGAGCGGCAGCGAGCUGCUGGAAGAGGAUUUGGCGUCACCUUUGACCUUUUUAACUUUGGUUGACUUUUAGUUGUUUUUCCACAAAGUGAGACAGAGUGAACUCUGGGUAAUGAGAGACUGACACCAUGACAUCAUCGGUGAUGUAGCCUUGUUGUAAACAAUAAACAAAAACAACUCAAACAAACAAA